GGUCUGUAAGGUCAACCUGUGAGGCCUCUUGGGCGAGUUGUAGGAAAACGAUUAGAAAAGUUACAUAAAGACGAGGCCACUGGCAUUAUGUCUGCUGUGAUGUGUUUGUAUGUCUGUUGUACAGGGGAGUAGAAUGCGCGUUUGGAGGAACGUUCGCGAGUAAGGUUUGUGUGUGAUUGCGUGCGUUCGUAUGUAGGUGGGCGCGUGUGUGUGCGUGUGUGUGUCCGCAUGAGCGCUUUGUACUGAUGUGAGGAACUUUUAAACUUACUAUUAUUCACUAACAAUCAUCAUUAUAAUUCUAGUAAAUGAAACAUUUAUGAAUAAAUCAACUGAUUAAGUUUUCACUUCGUUUACACAUUUUAAUGAAAGAAGAAUGUCUAAAUAAUAGAAUUAGUUACUAAUUGUAUCGGACCGCGGGUUUGGGGAAAUUUUGCAGAAAAUAGAAACGUUUGGGUGUUCAUGCCUAUGGGUACACAUAGGAAUUAAUGCAGAUACGAAAUACGUGUCUGUAUAAUAACAUCUGAGUGUGUUAGUGUGUUUUUGUCUCUCUUACGCAGAUCUCAACGAUAAGUCAUGGAAAGAUGGAGUACACCUGACAGUAGGAAUAAGUAAAAUGACAGGAAAGAUGAAAAGUGGCACAGAUAUAGAAAGUCAUCGAGAAACGUAGCUAAUAUCGUAACAGAUGUACUGAUGAGCAUUAGACACACAACUUCACGCAGAUUAACGGACAAAUAUGAAAAAUGAGGGAGAGCAGUCACCCUCGAGACAGACUAAGCGACAUAAGUCUUCCCAUGGAUGGGAAUGGACUAAAAAUAAAUAAUUAGUGAGUUGACAAAAAAACAGUCGUGAUUGUUAUUAUUGCUAUACAUAAUUAUCUACUUUAACCUUAGUGUCUAUGGGCGUUUAAUCAAAACUUCUGCAGAAAUCCUCAACUAAAUAUCUACUUCCGGUGUAAAAGAUGAAGCGAGUGUCUCCUCUUAUAGCAGACAAACAGCUGACUUUAAGAAAUAUUUCUUUCAAACUAUUCACGGGUGAAAAGAAAGUAACUGAGAAACAGCCAAUGGUGUGGUCUCGCUAUGUGUCGAAUGUGUAAUAGAAGGAGCAUCUCGCUAAGGAGCCAAUGGAAUCUUCUGAAUUAUCCUUAACGAUGUGACAACAAAACAACUAGAGACACUGUGUUUAACUCAAACCUGUUCGCCACUUAAAGGACAAGCAAUGAUGGCCAUCAGACGAGUGACCAUUGUGUAAGCAGGCCAAGAAGAUGCUCGUCUGCCAAGAGACAACUCCACCGCCUCCAACACAAGAGUACAAUGCCGCCAGGGGACAUCUCGACCAUCGGUGCAACAACAUCUUUGACUUUGCAUUGCAGACUUUUGUGGAAUAUUCUACAACACGCAGACACACGUACAAGCUGCUGCUUCUUUCCUAAAGUGAAAUACUGUUUGUUGGUGGGCAGAUACAAAACAUGUGUUAAUGAAUUCCUCUCUUCUUCUACACCUGACAAGUUUCAAGUGAUUGGUUUGAUGAGGAAAGUGUGAUGAGUUGUGGCAGGUCUUGUAUUGUUUCCUGCGCAAUGGCGUCUGGUGUCUGACGUCUUGUGUGUGACGUCUUGUAUGCGUCAUUUGUUCCACAUCAUUUGAAGCCGGGGGGGGGAUGACGUCAUAUAUAAGAGAAAAGCAGUUGCUCUAACAAUGGCGAAGUAGCAAACUGGUUAAAAUACAAGGGCUUUAGAUUAGCUUUUCCCAAAACCCAGGCAAUAAUAUUUAAAAAACUUAAUCAGAAAACAGACUAUCCCAAACUAACACUUAACCAAACAACCAUUGACUAUAGCUUCCAGGUACAAUUCUUAGGAGUAAUUUUCUCGGAUAAAACCAACUGAUCCCCAUUCGUGGACAAAAUAACGAAAUCUGCCAAAAAAGGAAUAAACCUAAUAAGAGUAGUAAGCGGUAAUACCUGGGGCGCCCACCCAAAAUCGUUACUUAACUUAUAUCAAGCCCAUGUAAUGUCAAAACUGCUCUAUGCAGCCCCACUCUUAGUACACUUGAGGUCUAACCAAAUAGUCAAACUCCAAUCCGUUCAGGCCAGGGCACUAAAAGUAGUGUUGGGUGUACCUUUGUACACACCAAACCUGUCAGUACUGGCAGAGACAGGACAAAAACAAAUAAUGGAGCUGAUUAUCAAAUUAUCAAGAAGAGAACAGUCAACUUCUACUACAAGACGCAGUGUCUCCCUCCAGACCAUCCAGUCCGACAGAUCCACUCAACCCCACAGACACAUGACAGUAAGCCGCACCCCACAACCCACUAUACAGCAUCACAUCCAACAGUUAGAAAACACAAAAGGAGCAGAAACAAACAUUACAGCGCCCUACCCACACAGCGACAUGUAAACUUCACCUUGGACACUUCCACAACCGUAAAUAGACACUGAUCUCAUCAAUAUGGCAAAGAGGACCAUCAACACCUAAUCACCUCAGAGAUCAAACUCAAACUGGGCGCCACCUACCAGCAGAAACAAACAUUACAGCGCCCUACCCACACAGCGACAUGCAAACUCCACCUUGGACACUUCCACAACCACAAAUAGACACUGAUCUCACCCAAUAUAACAACAAAGAGGACCAUCAACACCUAAUCACCUCAGAGAUCAAACUCAAACUGGGCACCACCUACCAGGGCUAUACGCAGAUAUACACAGAUGGCUCCCACAGCACAGAAACGCAAUAACUGGGCUAGGAGUUUAUUGUCCUGACAACAUAAACCUUUCCAUCAAACUCCCGACCCACACCUCCAUUUUCACAGCCGAGAUGACUGCUAUACAGACAGCCAUUGAGAAUAUACACCUCCAACUGAGGGACACCACAAGCCGACAUUUCCACAUACUAUCGGACUCCCUGUCAGCAAUCCAGUCUCUUCAAAACAAAUCAUCGAACAGAGUAGACAUUGUUUAUGAAAUAUUGUCCCUCAUAAACAAGAUUAACAAAGACAAUAGAGACGUCAGGUUCCUUUGGGUUCCCUCCCAUAUUGGGUUAGAAGGAAACGAGGGAGCUGAUAAAUUAGCCAAACUGGCAGUAAAACGAACUAGCAAUCCUAAAGUCACCACCCUAAACAUCUCUAUUUCACCAGCAGAGAGAAGAAUAGCAAUAAAACCAGCGAUAAAAUUAAGGUGGAAUGAGAAGUGAAGGUAAAGGAACUAGGAGACUGAUAGAUGAACAACCAAGUACUACUCUGCUUUUCUUUGGCUCAAAUAGGCCCCUCCAAUCCAAGAUAGCCAGAAUGAGGCUUAGCGGAGAAUAUCUAACUAAAUAUAAAAGAGACUCUCUUUCCUGCACAUGUGGAGACAGGAUUAGCACCUCACAUGUGCUUUUGGAGUGUCAUGAAAACAAAGAUGAAAGAGAUGUCUUAAGUCAGGUCUUAAAUAAACACAGGCUAGCCUUAAACAUUAUCAACUGUCUUAACCCACCAAAAGAUAUAUGGGACACCAUACUGUCAUUGGUAGUGACAAUGGUGGCACGCCACCCGCAUGCUAAGCUCAUAUAAACAGGUUGAAGGUAACCCUGAGUAAGUCCUUCAAAAUAUAUCUUUAUAGGGAAAAACUGCAUGACGGGUGCUUGACCAUCGGCACUAGCACCAAACUAAAAAAAAUUAAAAUUAAAAAAAUUUAAAAGCAGCAUAAGCAUAUUACCCUAAUUUAAAUAAAAGCCUAGGACAUAGAUAUAUGGCAACAAAGAGGAUCUGGUAACCUGGACAAUACACCACCACUGCGGACUUGGCAGGCGUCCAGGAUAUCAUAAGCGCAGCACCUAAAAUGGUAAAGGGCACCAGUAGACAACACCAUGAACGGCAACCCUUCUCCCUUCCCUUCCCUUCCCAUCUUCCCACCGGUUCCCCCCCCCCUUUCCAAACUCUUCCCCUCUCCUAAACUCCCUUGCCCCUCCCCCACAGUGCGAAAUCGCCUCGCGGUGGAAGCACUUUCCCUUUUCAAAUACAACAACAACAAAUCUAACAAUGGCCAAGUGAGCAGGAAAAAUCAACGGUCUUGUCCGCCAUCUUCUUUGUGACUCUCUCAGUGACCUUCCUCAGAAUUUGUGCCUCUUCGAUUCUAUUCACCUCCAAAUCUCUUCAUCCUCAUCGUCAUCUGAGUGGCUCGUCGAGCGUUGUGUGUGUGUGAAAUGCGUAGUGCGUAUUCAAGGUAAGUGUACCUUCGUCAUGCGACACAAAAAAUACUCAAAUGAUCGCAUGCUGAUAAUCAUACUAGUUUUUUAUUCGCCACAAGCAACGUCCGAUCUUCAUUCUGAUAAUAGUGUUUAGCAUUUCUACACCUGGGUUAUUGUUUUGUUGGUUUUGUUUUUUAUUUGCUUUUAUUUUGUUUUUUGUUGCUGUUGUUGUUGUUUUUUGCCCAAUUCCUGCGAGAUAUGAGAGUAAAGACUAAUACUGCUACAAGUCAGAUUUUCGGAUUGCGGCUGUAUCUAGCAAGGUAAACGAAUCAUACUUUGUGAUCAGAAACACACGAUCAUUAGAAAAACAACUCCGUUAUUAGUUCUCACAACUGACAGCAUCCUUCGCCUCGUGUCUUGUGUCACACAUCACGUGACACCUUUGACUAUAAAAGGCCGCCACUUCUUUGCUCCAGACAAACAGGUUCCAGCCAUCGACAGCUUCCACCACAACUUCCACUUUCAUCACUCGUCAAAGAUCCUCACAGCCAUGAAGUCGCUGGUGCUGAUUCUGGUGUUGGCCGCAGCAAGCAUGGCGGCUCAUGUUCCAGAAGAACGGGACUUGCUUCCGAUGGCCGAUCCCGAGUUGCCGUUGAUUACCUCACUACUGACAAACCUCCUGUCUGUCCUCGGCCCCAUUGCUAGUGCUCUCCUGAAUGUUGUCACGCCCUUAAUAGACAGUCUGCUGGGUGCCUCUAUUUCUGCCGUCCUGGGCCUUCUGGCUCCUGUUCUUGACAUCGUGUCCAUACUGGUCAACUGUGUGACACCCGCCAGCAACAUACCCGUCGGCAACAUUGAGCAAUUCGUCCUGGGUACAGUCGAAAGCGCUGUCUCCUCCAUAAAAUCAAAUCUCACAGAGGCCUGCCUUUAGUAACUACGAUGGACAACUCUCCUUUGUUGUGUCCAGUUCCUGACUCGAUUUGAAGACAGAAACUUUGAGGCAUCCCAUGAGGCAUUCCAACUACUCCAUCAGCUACAUGGAGGGGAUUGUGUCAGAGAAUAAUAAACACGGCUACAACUA